rnacentral:rRNA from 1 species
CACGUAGGCGGGAACUUAAGUCAGGUGUGAAAGACCGGGGCUCAACUCCGGGGUUGCACUUGAAACUGGGUUUCUUGAGGGCAGGAGAGGAAAGCAGAAUUCCUGGUGUAGCGGUGAAAUGCGUAGAAAUCAGGAGGAAUACCAGUGGCGAAGGCGGCUUUCUGGACUGACCCUGACGCUGAGGUGCGAAAGCGUGGGUAGCAAACAG